UACGGGGGGGGCAAGCGUUGUUCGGAAUUACUGGGCGUAAAGGGUUCGUAGGUGGCGCUGUAAGUCGGGUGUGAAAUUUCGGAGCUUAACUCCGAAACUGCAUUCGAUACUGCGGUGCUUGAGGACUGGAGAGGAGACUGGAAUUCAUGGUGUAGCAGUGAAAUGCGUAGAGAUCAUGAGGAAGACCAGUGGCGAAGGCGGGUCUCUGGACAGUUCCUGACACUGAGGCACGAAGGCCAGGGGAGCAAACGGG
rnacentral:rRNA from 1 species